rnacentral:RNase_MRP_RNA from 1 species
GGAAAGUCCCCGUGCUUGUGGGCGGAGAGCGCCGGCGGGAGACCGCGCCGCUCAGGCCGCGGCGCGAGCGGCGAACGCCACCAGCGGACCUGCAGCGCCUCGGCCUGGGCCGGUUCGCACGAGCACAGCCAUCUCGUGAGCACCCGCGAGGGUGCCAACUGAACGGGGCUCACUCUG